GCUUAGUCCAGCCUCAGCCUUCUAGGUUCAAGCGAUCUUCCCACCUCAGCCUCCCAAGAAGCUGGGACUACAGGGACCCGCCACCCCACCUAGCUAAUUAAAAAAAAAAUUGUAGAGAUGGAGUCUCAGUGUGUAGCCCAGUCUCAAGUGACCCUCCCUCGUUGGCUUCCCAAAGCGCUGAGAUUGCAGGAAGAGUGUCUUCAUCUCUGCAUCCCUAGUGCAACAGAGCAUGACAAAAAUUCAACAAAUAUUUAUUGAAGAGUCUUGAUGUCUUUUGGGAAAGGAACUCUAUGGUUACCUUUACUCUAAGAUUAGAUGGGUGUUACUGAUUCUUACCUCAGAGAAGAGAAUGUCAUGGAGACAAAAUGACCUGCUUAGAGUUCUGCACCCCCCAGCAUGGAGAGCAGAGCGCAAAGAUUUCUUCCGGACUCCCACAUUCCCCUUGGAAUCCAAGAACUGGUCUACUGUCACAACACUUUAGUACCCUCUUGUAAGCCUGUGGACAAAUCCUCUGAUGCCUUGAUACCUCGGUUUUCCCCCACUAUAAAUGGGAAGAUAAAUUCACUAGAAACAG
ensembl:lncRNA LAMTOR5-AS1 LAMTOR5 and SLC16A4 antisense RNA 1